CCGCUCCCUUUUGCACUGAAUUAAGUAAACCGCGAAUGGCUCAUUAAAUCAGUUAUGGUUCCUUAGAUCAUACCUAUCUUACUUGGAUAACUGUGGUAAUUCUAGAGCUAAUACAUGCAUAUUGAAUCCCGCCCAGAAAUGGAAGGGAUGCUUUUAUUAGAUUAAAACCAAUCGGUCGGCUUGUCCGUCCGUUGCCUUGGUGACUCUGAAUAACUUGACGCUGAUCGCACGGUCUUCGUACCGGCGACGUGUCUUUCAAAUGUCUGCCUUAUCAACUGUCGAUGGUAGGUUCUGUGCCUACCAUGGUUGUUACGGGUAACGGGGAAUCAGGGUUCGAUUCCGGAGAGGGAGCCUGAGAAACGGCUACCACAUCCAAGGAAGGCAGCAGGCGCGCAAAUUACCCACUCCCGGCACGGGGAGGUAGUGACGAAAGAUAACGAUACGGGACUCAUCCGAGGCCCCGUAAUCGGAAUGAAUACACUUUAAAUCCUUUAAUGAGAAUCAAUUAGAGGGCAAGUCUGGUGCCAGCAGCCGCGGUAAUUCCAGCUCUAAUAGCGUAUAUUAAAGUUGUUGCGGUUAAAAAGCUCGUAGUUGGAUCUGGGUCUCGGACGGUCGGUUCGCCGCCCGGCGUUUAACUGACCGGUCCGGACGUCCUGCCGGUUUUUCUUCCUCGGUGCUCUUGAUUGAGUGUCUUGGUGGGCCGGCACGUUUACUUUGAACAAAUUAAAGUGCUCAAAGCAGGCCGUGUCGCCUGAAUGUUCGGUGCAUGGAAUAAUACAACAGGACCUCGGUUCUAUUUUGUUGGUUUUCGGAACUUGAGGUAAUGAUUAAUAGGGACAGACGGGGGCAUUAGUAUUGCGACGUUAGAGGUGAAAUUCUUGGAUCGUCGCAAGACUAACCGAUGCGAAAGCAUUUGCCAAGCAUGUUUUCAUUAAUCAAGAACGAAAGUCAGAGGCU
rnacentral:rRNA from 1 species